rnacentral:rRNA from 1 species
AGUGAACGCUGGCGGUAGGCCUAACACAUGCAAGUCGAACGGCAGCACAGUAAGAGCUUGCUCUUACGGGUGGCGAGUGGCGGACGGGUGAGGAAUACAUCGGAAUCUACUUUUUCGUGGGGGAUAACGUAGGGAAACUUACGCUAAUACCGCAUACGACCUACGGGUGAAAGCAGGGGAUCUUCGGACCUUGCGCGAUUGAAUGAGCCGAUGUCGGAUUAGCUAGUUGGCGGGGUAAAGGCCCACCAAGGCGACGAUCCGUAGCUGGUCUGAGAGGAUGAUCAACCACAAUGGAACUGAGACAAGGUCCAGACUCCUACGGGAAGCAGCAGUGGGGAAUAUUGGACAAUGGGCGCAAGCCUGAUCCAGCCAUACCGCGUGGGUGAAGAAGGCCUUCGGGUUGUAAAGCCCUUUUGUUGGGAAAGAAAAGCAGCAAGUUAAUACCCCGCUGUUCUGACGGUACCCAAAGAAUAAGCACCGGCUAACUUCGUG